rnacentral:rRNA from 1 species
GCCCGUACCGUAAACCGACACAGGUGGGUGGGAUGAGUAUUCUAAGGCGCGUGGAAGAACUCUCUUUAAGGAACUCUGCAAAAUAGCACCGUAUCUUCGGUAUAAGGUGUGCCUAGCUUCGUUAAGAAUUUACUUCGUAAGCGAAGAAGGUUACAACAAAGAGUCCCUCCCGACUGUUUACCAUAAACACAGCACUCUGCUAACUCGUAAGAGGAUGUAUAGGGUGUGACGCCUGCCCGGUGCUCGAAGGUUAAUUGAUGAUGUUAGCUUAUGCAAAGCAUCUGAUCGAAGCCCGAGUAAACGGCGGCCGUAACUAUAACGGUCCUAAGGUAGCGAAAUUCCUUGUCGGUUAAAUACCGACCUGCAUGAAUGGCGUAACGAGAUGGGAGCUGUCUCAAAGAGGGAUCCAGUGAAAUUGUAGUGGAGGUGAAAAUUCCUCCUACCCGCGGCAAGACGGAAAGACCCCGUGGACCUUUACUAUAGCUUGACACUGCUACUUGGAUAAAGAUGCGCAGGAUAGGUGGGAGGCUUCGAUUCGUAGAUCUCGGUUUACGAUGAGCCAUUGUUGAGAUACCACUCUUCUUUAUUCGGGUAGCUAACUAGCCUAAGUUAUCCUUAGGUAGGACAAUGUCUGGUGGGUAGUUUGACUGGGGCGGUCGCCUCCCAAAAUGUAACGGAGGCUUACAAAGGUUGGCUCAAAGCGGUUGGAAAUCGCUUGCAGAGUAUAAAGGCAAAAGCCAGCUUAACUGCGAGACAUACACGUCGAGCAGAGACGAAAGUCGGUCUUAGUGAUCCGGUGGUUCUGUGUGGAAGGGCCAUCGCUCAAAGGAUAAAAGGUACCCCGGGGAUAACAGGCUGAUCUCCCCCAAGAGCUCACAUCGACGGGGAGGUUUGGCACCUCGAUGUCGGCUCAUCGCAUCCUGGGGCUGGAGCAGGUCCCAAGGGUAUGGCUGUUCGCCAUUUAAAGCGGUACGCGAGCUGGGUUCAGAACGUCGUGAGACAGUUCGGUCCCUAUCUGCCGUGGGCGUAAGAAGAUUGAGGAGAGUUGACCCUAGUACGAGAGGACCGGGUUGAACCGACCACUGGUGUACCGGUUGUUCUGCCAAGAGCACCGCCGGGUAGCUAAGUCGGGAUGCGAUAAGAGCUGAAAGCAUCUAAGCUCGAAGCCGACUCCAAGAUGAAUCUUCUUUUAAGAGCUCUAGUAGACUACUAGUUUGAUAGGCCGGAUGUGUAAUGGAUGAAAGUCCUUUAGCUGACCGGUACUAAUAGCUCGUUUGCUUAUCUUU